AGCAGCCGCGGUAAUUCCAGCUCCAAUAGCGUAUAUUAAAGUUGUUGCAGUUAAAAGCUCGUAGUUGAAUUUCGAGAUCGGCUUACUGGUCGUGCUUUUGUACGUACUGGUAAAUCGGUUUCUCCUUUCUGACGAACUUUAAUGCCAUUAAUUUGGUGUUUUAGGGAAUCAGGACUGUUACUUUGAAAAAUUAGAGUGUUUAAAGCAGGCUCACGCUUGAAUACAUUAGCAUGGAAUAACGGAAUAGGACGUUUGAUUCUAUUUUGUUGGUUUCUAGGAUCGACGUAAUGAUUAAUAGGGAUAGUUGGGGGCAUUAGUAUUCAAUUGUCAGAGGUGAAAUUCUUGGAAUUUAUUUGGAAAUGAUCUAACUAACUGCGAAAGUCAAUUGCCAAUGGAUGUUUUCAUUAAUCAAGAACGAAAGUUAGGGGAUCGAAGACGAUCAGAUACCGUCGUAGUCUUAACCAUAAACUAUGCCGACUAGGGAUCGGAUGAUGUUAAUUUUUUAAUGACUCAUUCGGCG
rnacentral:rRNA from 1 species